ACGGCGGGUGCUAACGUCCGUCGUGAAGAGGGAAACAACCCAGACCGCCAGCUAAGGUCCCAAAGUCAUGGUUAAGUGGGAAACGAUGUGGGAAGGCCCAGACAGCCAGGAUGUUGGCUUAGAAGCAGCCAUCAUUUAAAGAAAGCGUAAUAGCUCACUGGUCGAGUCGGCCUGCGCGGAAGAUGUAACGGGGCUAAACCAUGCACCGAAGCUGCGGCAGCGAACGUAUCACUUAAAGCGAUUCAGCGGGUUACGAUUGACGGAGCGAAGCGACGUCAAAGCGUAUACAAAGUCGAGUCGGUUUAAGGAUACGUUCGUUGGGUAGGGGAGCGUUCUGUAAGCCUGYGAAGGUGGCCUGUGAGGGUUGCUGGAGGUAUCAGAAGUGCGAAUGCUGACAUAAGUAACGAUAAAGCGGGUGAAAAGCCCGCUCGCCGGAAGACCAAGGGUUCCUGUCCAACGUUAAUCGGGGCAGGGUGAGUCGACCCCUAAGGCGAGGCCGAAAGGCGUAGUCGAUGGGAAACRGGUUAAUAUUCCUGUACUUGGUGUUACUGCGAAGGGGGGACGGAGAAGGCUAUGUUGGCCGGGCGACGGUUGUCCCGGUUUAAGCGUGUAGGCUGGUUUUCCAGGCAAAUCCGGAAAAUCAAGGCUGAGGCGUGAUGACGAGGCACUACGGUGCUGAAGCAACAAAUGCCCUGCUUCCAGGAAAAGCCUCUAAGCAUCAGGUAACAUCAAAUCGUACCCCAAACCGACACAGGUGGUCAGGUAGAGAAUACCAAGGCGCUUGAGAGAACUCGGGUGAAGGAACUAGGCAAAAUGGUGCCGUAACUUCGGGAGAAGGCACGCUGACACGUAGGUGAAGUGAUUUACUCAUGGAGCUGAAG
rnacentral:rRNA from 1 species